CUCAGGAUGAACGCUAGCUACAGGCUUAACANAUGCAAGUCGAGGGGGAAACGACAUCGAAAGCUUGCUUUUGAUGGGGCGUCGACCGGCGCACGGGUGAGUAACGCGUAUCCAACCUGCCCACCACUUGGGGGAUAACCUUGCGAAAGUAAGACUAAUACCCAAUGACGUCUCUAGAAGACAUCUGAAAGAGAUUUAAAGAUUUUAUCGGUGAUGGAUGGGGAUGCGUCUGAUUAGCUUGUUGGCGGGGUAACGGCCCACCAAGGCGACGAUCAGUAGGGGUUCUGAGAGGAAGGUCCCCCACAUUGGAACUGAGACACGGUCCAAACUCCUACGGGAGGCAGCAGUGAGGAAUAUUGGUCAAUGGGCGAGAGCCUGAACCAGCCAAGUAGCGUGCAGGAAGACGGCCCUAUGGGUUGUAAACUGCUUUUAUAGGGGAAUAAAGUGAGCCACGUGUGGUUUUUUGCAUGUACCCUAUGAAUAAGGACCGGCUAAUUCCGUG
rnacentral:rRNA from 1 species